rnacentral:rRNA from 1 species
UACGGGGGGAGCAAGCGUUGUUCGGAUUUACUGGGCGUAAAGGGCGCGUAGGCGGCGCAACAAGUCACUUGUGAAAUCUCCGGGCUUAACCCGGAGCGGCCAAGUGAUACUGUCGUGCUAGAGUGCGGAAGGGGCUACUGGAAUUCUCGGUGUAGCGGUGAAAUGCGUAGAUAUCGAGAGGAACACCUGCGGCGAAGGCGGGUAGCUGGGCCGACACUGACGCUGAGGCGCGAAAGCCAGGGGAGCAAACGGG